rnacentral:rRNA from 1 species
AUUGAACGCUGGCGGCAUGCCUUACACAUGCAAGUCGAACGGCAGCACGGGUGCUUGCACCUGGUGGCGAGUGGCGAACGGGUGAGUAAUACAUCGGAACGUACCUUAUCGUGGGGGAUAACCCAGCGAAAGCUGUGCUAAUACCGCAUACGCCCUGAGGGGGAAAGCGGGGGAUCGCAAGACCUCGCGCGAUUAGAGCGGCCGAUGCCUGAUUAGCUUGUUGGUGGGGUAAAAGCCCACCAAGGCGACGAUCAGUAGCUGGUCUGAGAGGACGAUCAGCCACACUGGGACUGAGACACGGCCCAGACUCCUACGGGAGGCAGCAGUGGGGAAUUUUGGACAAUGGGGGCAACCCAGAUCCAGCAAUGCCGCGUGAGUGAAGAAGGCCUUCGGGUUGUAAAGCUCUUUUGUCAGGGAAGAAACACCGGCUCUAACACAGUCCGGGAAUGACGGUACCUGAAGAAUAAGCACCGGCUAACUACGUGCCAGCCGCCGCCGUAA